GCAUACAUACAAAUCCUGCAAGUUAAAGCCACAAGAGCCAAUACUCCUCUUAUUCAGCUUUCAAUCUGCAGUCCACAAGGAUCUAAUUUAUGCACAAAAUCUUUUAUAUUCAAUUUUUCAUACGAAUGAACUGAUACUAAGAAUGUGAUAGACAAAAAAAAAAAAAAAAAAAAAAAAAAAAAAUUAAAGUCCAAAUGCCCAAAACCAGUUAAAACAAUGCCCAAUCCAAUGAAGAAAGUUUUCUAUUGCCCAUAUCAAUGAUUCUUAAUAAAAGACAUUUUCACCAUUUUUAGUAAUAACACCAUAGUAAGCCUUGUUUUUUUACAGAUCAAGAUUCCACUCUCUCUCUCUAUCUCUCUUCUCUCUCCUCUCUCUCUCAGAUGUGAAUCUGAAUCCACUUGUCGGCGAAGCACCGGCGACCUGAAGCACUUGCAAACCACCGCACCGGUGACGAGGCCUUGAUGCCAACAAGGCUUCUCCGAUAAGAUCUCCUCCUCCCUCGAGGACGUCCCGCCUGUACUCGUCUUGGAUCUGCUCCUCGACUAGGCCAACGAGACCAAGGUUCAUAGGCAGCCUCCGCCUCCGCCUCCAUGGCCAGAUCGAAGGCGUCGGGUGCGUGGUGAGGGAGGAGGAGUGGAUCCGAUGAGGGAGGUGAAGCAGUUUCGAUGAGGGAGGAGGAGGUACGGUGAGAGAGGGCGCAUGGUAAUGGAGUAUCCGAUCAGUGAGGGUGCAUGGCUAUGCGGUAGGUGUAGUUGUAUUUUUUUAGCUGAUAGGUAGCUCGAUAAUUCAUGUUGUAGUUUUGACUCGAUUAUGUUCUAAGUAUUUCUUCCUUUUUAUUACAAAAAGCUGAAAUAAGUUGAUUAUUAGUGGUUAGUAACUGAUUAUUGGGAGUCAGUAAUCAAGUUAUUAGGAGUCAGUAACUGAUUUAUUGGGAGUCAGUAACUGAUUUUUGGGGGGUCAGUAACCGAUUAUUGGGAGGCGGGUCAAGACGGGUCAACGCGGGUUAAGACGGGUCAAGGCGCCUCAAUGCGGCCACUUGGUGGCCUUAGAUGGGUCAAGGCGCGCCAAGCGGCCGCCUUGACCUGCCAAGGAGCUGCCUUGACCCUCCAAGCCCCGUCUUGGGCCGCCUUGACUUGCCUAGGCCUUCCUAGGUUGGCCUAGCGUAGCCAAAGGGCCGCCUUGACCCGUCUAGGGCCGCUAAGGGGCCGCCUUGACCUGCUUAGGGCCGCUAAGCGGUCGCCAUGACCCGCGUAAGCCCGCCUUGACCCAUUCUGACCCGCCUUAACCCGCCUUGACCCUCCUUAACCCGCCUUGACCCUCCUUGGCUCGCCUAGGGCCACCAAGGGGCCGCCAUGACUCACCAAUGGGCUGCCAUGACCCGUCUAGAGCCUCCUUGACCCGCCUUGGGCCAUUUUGACCCUGCCAGUCCCGCCUAGGGCUGCCUAGGGUCGCUAAGUGGACGCCUUAACCCCACUUAGGGCUGCCAUGGGGCCACCUUGACCUACUUAGGGUCGCCUUGACCUACCUAGGGCCACCAAGCGGCAGCCUUGAUUCGCCAAGGAGUUGCCUUGACCCUCCUAGACCCACCUUGGGCUGCCCUGACCCUCCUAGGCUCGCCUAGGGCAGACAAGGGGCCGCAUUGACCCUCCUAGGGCCGCUAAGGGGCCACCUAGACCUGCCUAUGGCCGCCAAGCGGUCACCUUGACCCGCCUAGGCCUGCCUUGACCAGCCAUGGUCCGCCUUGACUCGCCUUAACCCGCCUAGACCCUCCUAGGCUCGCUUAGGGCCACCAUGACCCUCUUAGGGUCGCCUUGGGCAGCUAUGACCCUCCUAGGCCCGCCAAGGUGCUGCCUAGAGCCGCCAAGGGGCCGCCUUAACCCACCUUAACCCGCCUUAACACUCUUAGGCUCGCCGACUGCCCGUCUACGGCCGCCUUGACCCUCCUAGAGUCACCUAGGGCCACCAUGACCCUCCUAGGGUCGUCUAGGGCCGCCUUAACCCACCUUGACCCACUUUAACCCACCUUGCCUUAACCCGCUUGGACCCUCCUAGGUUUGCCUUGACCCACCUUAACAUGCAUUGGCCCGGCUUAACCCGUCUUGGAUCGCUUUGACCCGCCUUGACCCGCCAUGGCCUACCUUGGGCCGACUUAACCUGACUUGGGUCACCUUGACCCUCCUAGGGCAACCAAAAGGCCGCCUUGACCCGUCUAGAGCCACCAAGAGGCCACCUUGACUUGCUUAGGGCCGCCAAGCGACCCUCCUAGACCCGCCUUGGGCAGCCUUGACCCUCCUAGGCUCGUCUUGACUCGGCUAGGGCCACCAAGCGACCGCCUUGACCCGCCAAGGAGCUGUCUUGACCCUCUUAGACACACCUUGGACCGCCUUGACCCUCCUAAGCCCUCCCAGGCUCGUCUAAGGCAGCCAAAAGGCCGCCAAGGGGCUGCCUUGACCAUUCUAGACCCGCCUUGGGCCGCCAUGACCCUCCUAGGCCUUCAUAGGCACGGCUAGGGCAGCAAAUGAGCCGCCAUGACCUGCCUUAACCAGCCUUGACCUUCCUAGGCUCACCGAGGACCACCAAAGGGCCACCAUGACUCGCCAGGGGGUUGCCAUAACCCUCCUAGGCACUUCUAGGGCAAUCUUAACCCGUUUAGGGCCGCCUUGAUCCGCUUUGACCCUCCUAAGCCCUACUAGGCCCGCUUAGGGCAGCCAAGGGGCCGCCAUGACCCUCUUAAGGUUGCCAAAGGGAUCCCUAGGGGAGCCAAGUGGUCGCCUUAACCCUCUUAGGGCUACCAUGGGGCCGCCUUGACCAGUCUUGGUUCGCCAUGUCCCUCCUAUGCCCUCCUAGGUUCGCCUAAGGCAGCCAGAGGGACUUCUUGACCAGCCUAGACCCUCCUUGACUCUCCUAGACCCUCCUAGGCUCGCCUAGCACAGUCACGGGGCCGCCUUGACCCGCCUAGGCCUACCUUGACCCUCCUAGGGCAACCAAGGGCCCGCCUUGACCCUUCUAGGGCAGCUAAGGGGCUGCCUUGACCAGCCUUUGGGUUGCCAAGGGGCCGCCUUAACCUGCCUAGGGCCACCAAGCGCCGUCAUAACCCGCUAAGGAGCUGCCUUCACCCUCCUAGACCCGCCUUGGGCCGCUUUGAGCCUCCUAGGACCUUCUAGGCUAGCCUAGGGCAACAAAGGGGUCGCCUUGACCCGCCUAUGGCCGCCAAGCAGUCGCCUUGACCCGCCUUAACCCGCCUAGACCCUCCUAGGCUCGUCUAGGGCCACCAUGACCCUCCUAGUCCCGUUUAGGGCCGCGUUGGGCCGCUUUGACCCUCCUAGGCCCUCUUAGGCCUACCUAGGGCUGCCAUGACCUUCCUAAGGCCGCUAAGGGGUUGCCUANNNNNNNNNNNNNNNNNNNNGCAAUGACCUCUUAGGGCCGCCAAGGGGCUGCCUAGGGUUGUCAUUGGGCCGCCUUAACCUGUCUAGCCCCGUCUAUGGCCGCCUUGGGUCGCCUUGACCCACCUUGACACUUCUAGGGCAGCCAGAGGGCCGCCUUAACCAACCUAGGCCGCCAAGUGGCUGCCUUAAUACUCCUAGACCCACCUUGGCCGCCUUUACCCUCCUAGGCCCUCUCAAGCUCGCCUAGAACAGCUAAGGGGCAGUCUUGACCCGGCAAGGGCCGCAAAGGGGCCACCUUGACCUGUCCAGGGCCGCCAAGGGGUCGCCCUGACCCGCCUAGGCCUGCCUUGACCCGCCUUAGGCCGGGUUGACACACCUUGACCCGUCUAGGCUCAGGUUGUCACGCCUUAACCCGUAUUAGCCUGGCUUGACCCGCCUUAACCCGCCAUGGCCUGCCUUGGGCCACCUUGGGUCGCCUUGACUCUCCUAGGGCAGCCAAAAGGCCACCUUGACCCGUCUAGUGCCACCAAGCAACCACCUUGACGCGCCUUAACCCGUCUUAACCCGCUUUAAAUCGCCUUGACUCUCCUAGGGCAGCCAAGGGGCCGUCAUGACCCUCCUAGGGCCGCCAAGCGACCACCAUGACGUGCCUAGAGCCGCUUUUGACCCGUAUUGGCCCGCCUUAACCAUCCUUGGGCCGCCUUGACCCGCCUUGGGUCGCCUUAACCCUAUUAGGGCAGCUAAGAGGCCGCAUUGACCCGUCUAGGGCCACCAAGCGGCCGCCUUGACGUGCCUUGACCCACCUUAGGAAGCCUUGACCCCCCUUGACCCGCCUGGACCCUCCUUGGUCAGCCAAGGGACCACCUUGACCCGCCUAUGGCCGCUAAAGUGCCGCCUAGACCUGCCUAGGGCCGCCAAACCGUCGGCUUGACCCGCCUAGGCCUGCCUUGACCCUCCUAGGCUCAUCUAGGGCCACCAAGGGGCCACCAUGACUCGACAAGGGGUCUAGGAGGGUGAAGCGGCUGCCUUGACCUGCCUUGGGCAGCCAAGGGGCCGCCUUGACCCGCCUAGGGCCGCUAAGGGGUCCCCAUGACCAGCCUAGGCCUGCCUUGACCCUCUUAGGCUCGCCUAAGGCCACCAAGGGGCCGCUAUGACUCGACAAGGGUCGUCUUGACCCUCCUAGGCCCGUCUAAGGUCGCCUUGACCCGCCUAGGCCCUUCUAGGCUCGCCUAGGGCAGCCAAAGGGCCGCCCUUUAACCCUUCCGCCUUAGGGCCGGCCUUUAACCUUCGUCCCGUACGUCCAAGCGGCCGUUAUGGACCGCCUUAAACCCUGCCUUGACCCGCCUUGACCCUCCUAGGCUCACCUAAGGCCACCAAGGGGAUGUCAUGACUCACCAAGGGGUUGCCCAUGACCCUCCUAGGGCCGCCAAGGGGUUGCCUUGACCCGCUGAAGGCUGCCAUGGGGCCGCCUUGACCUGCUUAGGGCCACCUAGCGGCGACCUUGACCCUGCUAAGGCCUCCAAAGGGCCGCCUUGACCUGCCUAGACCCGGCUACGGCCGCCUUGACAUGUCUAGGGCUGCGAAGCGACUGCCUUGACCCGGCUAGGGCCACCAAGGGGCUGCCUUGACCCGUCUAGUGCCACUAAACGGCCAUCUUAACACACUUUAACCUGUCUUAACCCGUCUUAACCCACUUUAACCCUCUUAGGCCCGCCUAGGGUAGCCAAGCGGCCGCCAUGACCCUCCUAGGGCCUAAGCGGCCGCCUUGACGUGCCUACAGCCGUCUUGACCCGCAUUGGCCCACCUUGACCAUCCUUGGGCCGUCUUGACCCGCCAUGGCCUGCCUUGGAGUCUUGGCUGCCCUAGAGGCCACCUUGACUCAUCUAGGGCCACCAAGCGGCCGCCUUGACCCACCUUAGGAAGCCUUGACCCCCCUUCACCCGCCUGGACCCCCCUUGGUCAGCCAAGGGGCUGCCUUGACCCGCCUAGGGCCGCUAAAGGGGCACCUUGACUUGCCUAGGGCCGCCAAGCGGUCGGCUUGACCCGCCUUGACUAGCCUUGACCCGCCUUAACCUGCCUUGACCCUCUUAGGCUCGCCUAAGGCCACUAAGGGGCCAUCAUGACUCGACAAGGGGCCUAGGAGGCUCAAACGGCCACCUUGACCCGCCUAGGGCCGUUAAGGGGCCACCUUGACCUGCUUAGGGCCAUCCCUUGACCCGCCUUGACCUUCCUAGGCUCGGCUAUGGCCACCAAGGGGCCGUCAUGACUCGAUAAGGGUCGUCUUGACCCUCCUAGGCCCGUCUCAAGCCGCAUUGACCCGCCUAGGCUCGCCUAAGGCUGCCAAGGGGCUGCCUUGACAUGCCUAUGGCUGCUAAGGGGCCGCCUUGGCCUGCCAAAGGACGCCAAGCGGCAGUCAUGACCCGCCUAGGCCUUCCUUGGGGAACGCCUUGACCUGCCUCGACCCGCCUUGACCCGCAUAUGCUCACCUAGGGCCACCAAAGGGAUGCCAUGACUCACCAAGGAGCCGCCAUGACUCGCCAAGGGGUUGCCCAUGACCCUCCUAGGGCCGCCUUGACCUACCUAGACCCUGCUAGGGCCACCUUGACCCGCUUAGGGCUGCCAUGAGGCCACCUUGACUUGCCUAGGCCCGUUUAGGGCCGCCUUGUCCCUCCUUGACUCGUCUUGGCCCGCCUUUGGCCUCCUUGGCCCUCCUAGGCUCGCCUAAGCCAUCCUUGACCAGCGUUGGGCCGCUAAGGUGCUACGUUGACCCUCCUAGGCCCUCUUAGGCUCGCCUAGGGCAGCCAAUAGGCCGCCUUGACUCGCCAUGACCUUCCUUGACCCGCCUAGACCUCCCUUGACCCGCCUUGAUCCGCCUAUGCCCAUCUAGGGCCGCCUUGACCCGCUUUGACCUGCCUUGACUCGCCUGGACCCUCUUAGGCUUGCCUAGGGCCACAAUGACCCUCCUAGGCCCGUCUAGGGCCGCCUUGGGCCGCUUUGACCCUCCUAGGCCCGCCUAGGGCAGCCAAGGGUCUGCCAUGACCCUCCUAGGGUGGCCAAGGGGCCGCCUUGACCCUCCUUAACCCGCCUUGACCCUCCUAGGCUCACCUAGGGCCACCAAGGGGCCGCCAUGACUCGCAAAGGGGUCGCCAUGUUCCUCCUAGGCUCGUCUAGGGCCGCCUUGACCUGUCUAGGGUCGUCUUGACCCGUCUUGGGCCGCCUUAACUCGUCUUGGGCCGCUUUGACCCUCCUAGGCCCGCCUAGGGCAGCCAAGGGGCCGCCUUGACCCUUCUAGGGCCGCCAAGGGGCUGCCUUAACCCGCUUAGGGCUGCCAUGGGGCCGUCUUGACCCGCUUAGGGCUGCCAUGGGCCCGCCUUGACCCGUUUAGGGCCUCCUUGACCCGGCUAGGGUCACUAAGGGGGCCGCUUUCACCCGUCUAAGGCCGCCAAGGGGCAGCCUUAACUUGCUUAUGUACUGUCGCCAAGGGACCGCCUAGGGCCGCCUUAACCCGAGUAGGGUCACCAAGAGGCCGCCUUGACCCUUCUAGGGUCGCCAAGAGGCCGCCUUAACUUAUCUAGGUCCACCAAGGGCCGUCUUGACCCGGCUAGGGCUUCAGUUCUUCUCAUACUGACCUCGGGAACCUAAAUUUUGAAAAAGCAUAUGUGUUACCCAUCUUUUCAAGUUUCACCAAAUUUCAGCCAAAACCUCUUGUUAUAGUACACGAGUUUUUGAGAAAUUUCACUAUUUCUGAACGUUUGGUUUUUUUCCAAUCUUAUGUGCUUUUACACAUCUUCUAACAUCAAUUGAACCAUUGUAGCAUCAAAAGCUCAUGACCUUUAUCAUUUUACUCACAAUCGAGCCUAAAUGACUCGCGACAACUUUGUUUGGUAAGGGUGUUGGAACUGUUGCUAUCAGUGGAACAAGGUGAAUCGCCAUGCUUGUGGAGUCUUCAAUUCUUCUCAUACUAACCUCGGAAACCUAAAUUUUUAAAAAGUGUACGUGCUACCCAUCUUUUCAAGUUUCACCAAAUUUCAGCCAAAACCCCUUGUCCCCACACGAGUUUUUGAGAAAUUUCAAUUUUACUGAACGUCUGUUUUUUUUCCAUUCCUAUGUGCUUACACACAUCACCUAACAUCAAUUGAACCAUUAUAACAUCAAAAGCUCAUGGCCUUUAUCAUUUCACUCACAAUCGAGCCUAAAUAUAGAUCAACUAACAUGAAUUGAACCAUUAUAGCAUCAAAAGCUCGUGGCCUUUAUCAUUUUACUCGCAAUCGAGCCUAAAUGACUCACGACAACUUUAUUUGGUAAAGGGGUUGGAACUGUUACUUUCAGUGGAACAAGGUGAAUCGCCAUGCUUUUGGAGUCUUCAAUUCUUCUCAUACUGAC
rnacentral:lncRNA from 1 species